rnacentral:rRNA from 1 species
GACGAACGCUGGCGGCGUGCUUAACACAUGCAAGUCGAACGGAAAGGCCCUGCUUUUGUGGGGUGCUCGAGUGGCGAACGGGUGAGUAACACGUGAGUAACCUGCCCUUGACUUUGGGAUAACUUCAGGAAACUGGGGCUAAUACCGGGUAGGAGCUCCUGCUGCAUGGUGGGGGUUGGAAAGUUUCGGCGGUUGGGGAUGGACUCGCGGCUUAUCAGCUUGUUGGUGGGGUAGUGGCUUACCAAGGCUUUGACGGGUAGCCGGCCUGAGAGGGUGACCGGCCACAUUGGGACUGAGAUACGGCCCAGACUCCUACGGGAGGCAGCAGUGGGGAAUAUUGCACAAUGGGCGGAAGCCUGAUGCAGCAACGCCGCGUGCGGGAUGACGGCCUUCGGGUUGUAAACCGCUUUCGCCUGUGACGAAGCGUGAGUGACGGUAAUGGGUAAAGAAGCACCGGCUAACUACG